UACGUAGGGUGCAAGCGUUAAUCGGAAUUACUGGGCGUAAAGCGUGCGCAGGCGGUUAUGCAAGACAGAGGUGAAAUCCCCGGGCUCAACCUGGGAACUGCAUUUGUGACUGCAUGGCUAGAGUACGGUAGAGGGGGAUGGAAUUCCGCGUGUAGCAGUGAAAUGCGUAGAUAUGCGGAGGAACACCGAUGGCGAAGGCAAUCCCCUGGACCUGUACUGACGCUCAUGCACGAAAGCGUGGGGAGCAAACAGG
rnacentral:rRNA from 1 species